AAUCGUCCAACCUCUCCAGCCCA
rnacentral:siRNA from 1 species